UGCUUACACAUGCAAGUCGAACGAUGAAGCCGCUUCGGUGGUGGAUUAGUGGCGAACGGGUGAGUAACACGUGGGCAAUCUGCCCUUCACUCUGGGACAAGCCCUGGAAACGGGGUCUAAUACCGGAUAAUACUCUGUUCCGCAUGGAACGGGGUUGAAAGCUCCGGCGGUGAAGGAUGAGCCCGCGGCCUAUCAGCUUGUUGGUGGGGUAAUGGCCUACCAAGGCGACGACGGGUAGCCGGCCUGAGAGGGCGACCGGCCACACUGGGACUGAGACACGGCCCAGACUCCUACGGGAGGCAGCAGUGGGGAAUAUUGCACAAUGGGCGAAAGCCUGAUGCAGCGACGCCGCGUGAGGGAUGACGGCCUUCGGGUUGUAAACCUCUUUCAGCAGGGAAGAAGCGCAAGUGACGGUACCUGCAGAAGAAGCGCCGGCUAACUACGUGCCAGCAGCCGCGGUAAUACGUAGGGCGCAAGCGUUGUCCGGAAUUAUUGGGCGUAAAGAGCUCGUAGGCGGCUUGUCACGUCGGAUGUGAAAGCCCGGGGCUUAACCCCGGGUCUGCAUUCGAUACGGGCUAGCUAGAGUGUGGUAGGGGAGAUCGGAAUUCCUGGUGUAGCGGUGAAAUGCGCAGAUAUCAGGAGGAACACCGGUGGCGAAGGCGGAUCUCUGGGCCAUUACUGACGCUGAGGAGCGAAAGCGUGGGGAGCGAACAGGAUUAGAUACCCUGGUAGUCCACGCCGUAAACGUUGGGAACUAGGUGUUGGCGACAUUCCACGUCGUCGGUGCCGCAGCUAACGC
rnacentral:rRNA from 1 species